GACUACACAGCCACACCCAUCUGCAGAACAAGGAAGGCGGCUGCACUGAGCACAGGGCUGCAAAACUUCCCAGAGACAACGGCGACUACUGCAUCUGCAGCAAAACAGGCUCAGCCAUAUCAGCUCUCACUCUGGAGAGUCUUGACAGACAGGAUCGUGCUGGGAAGUGGGUUUGAAGUCAGGAAGCUCCUGUAUCCCUCUGAGCAUUAGGACUACAG